CUAUCCUCCAGUCCCAUUGAACAAAGAAGUGAGAAACCUUACAGUUGAAAUGAGUAUGGAAAAGCUCUCUGUUUCAACAGAAACCUUAUCAACUACUGGAGAAUCCACACUGGGGAGAAUCCUUAUAAGCAUGAUGAAUGUGGCAAGGCCUUCAUUCAAACUAAAUGUCUUAUUUGACAUCAGAGCCUACACACUGAGGUUCAUAUAAAAACCUUAUUUAAAUGGAAGCAGUUUGGAGAAACCAUCUAUGAGAGCUCUUAACUUGUUGACUAUGAGAAAAUUCAUACCUUUUGAAUGCAGUGUGACAAGGCAUUUGGUCUGAGUAAAUGUCUUAUUCUGUGUCAGAGAGUUCACACCUGCCAAAAGCCCUAUAAAUAUGAUAAGCAUGGAAAUGUGUAGUCAGAACUCAUGCCUCAUUAUACACCAGAGAAUUCACACUGUUAAGAAACCCUACAAAUAUAAUGGGUAUGGGAAGAUAUUCAGUUAUAGUGCCAGUCUUGUGGUACAUCAGACAACCCAUUGUGGGGAGAAAUCUUAUAAAUGCAAUGAUAGUGUGAAAGCUGUUAUAUGAUUGUGUGAGCCAUUAUAGUUCACAAGUGAUUGUGCACCAGAGGGUUCACACUGGAAAGGAGCCCUGUGAAUGCAGUGAGCAUGGGAAAGCCUUUAAUCAGCA
rnacentral:lncRNA from 1 species